UUUGCUUCAAAGCAGAGCCUGCAUUUCUAUUCCUCCAGCAGCACACAGACAACAUGCAAAUACCGCAAGUAUGAAAGCAGUGGGCAGGCUGGUGGCAGAUAGCAUGGGAGCUGCCACUGCGCGCAGCCGGUUCACGCUUCAUUACUGCAGGACUGAACGAAGCAAAGCGAUGACACUUUCCAUUCAACAUGGACUCGGUGCACUGCGAUGCAGGAAGGCAGGCUGCUGGGCACGGAGCUGGAGUUCCAGCACAUGGUGCUCACAUGGCACUAAGCACCACUUCAACUCCCAACAAUCCACAUACCAGCCCCAGGUGGGCAAGCUGCUGUCUGCUCACCCCAGCCAGAAAGCCUGGAAAGAGUACAUAAUUCUGCCAGGGCAGCUUGCCCCCUGGGCAUCAUAUAAUCAUUAAGGUUCUUUUAAGGACAUCAGCGAAGGAUGGAGUUAACUGGCUUUGAGGAGCACAGAGCCAACUCUUGCAAACAAGCCGGCGCACUGACCCUUCUUAUGGGCCUUCCCUAUUGCAUCCUUCUGCCUGGGUUCCUCAAGGCAAUAAAAUAACAACUCUUUGCUUCAUUA